rnacentral:rRNA from 1 species
AGAGUUUGAUCCUGGCUCAGAUUGAACGCUGGCGGCAUGCCUUACACAUGCAAGUCGAACGGCAGCACGGAGCUUGCUCUGGUGGCGAGUGGCGAACGGGUGAGUAAUAUAUCGGAACGUACCCUAGAGUGGGGGAUAACGUAGCGAAAGUUACGCUAAUACCGCAUACGAUCUAAGGAUGAAAGUGGGGGAUUCGCAAGAACCUCAUGCUCGUGGAGCGGCCGAUAUCUGAUUAGCUAGUUGGUAGGGUAAAAGCCUACCAAGGCAUCGAUCAGUAGCUGGUCUGAGAGGACGACCAGCCACACUGGAACUGAGACACGGUCCAGACUCCUACGGGAGGCAGCAUUGGGGAAUUUUGGACAAUGGGCGAAAGCCUGAUCCAGCAAUGCCGCGUGAGUGAAGAAGGCCUUCGGGUUGUAAAGCUCUUUUGUCAGGGAAGAAACGGUG